AUACUUACCUGGCAGGGGAGAUACCAUGAUCACGAAGGUGGUUUUCCCAGGGCGAGGCUUAUCCAUUGCACUCAGAUGUGCUGACCCCUGCUAUUUCCCCAAAUGUGGGAAACUCAACUGCAUAAUUUGUUGUAGUAAGAGACUGCAUUUGAAAAAAAAAAAAAAUUUUUUU